rnacentral:rRNA from 1 species
GACGAACGCUGGCGGCGUGCUUAACACAUGCAAGUCGAACGGAAAGGCCCUGCUUUUGUGGGGUGCUCGAGUGGCGAACGGGUGAGUAACACGUGAGUAACCUGCCCUUGACUUUGGGAUAACUUCAGGAAACUGGGGCUAAUACCGGAUAGGAGCUCCUGCUGCAUGGUGGGGGUUGGAAAGUUUCGGCGGUUGGGGAUGGACUCGCGGCUUAUCAGCUUGUUGGUGGGGUAGUGGCUUACCAAGGCUUUGACGGGUAGCCGGCCUGAGAGGGUGACCGGCCACAUUGGGACUGAGAUACGGCCCAGACUCCUACGGGAGGCAGCAGUGGGGAAUAUUGCACAAUGGGCGGAAGCCUGAUGCAGCAACGCCGCGUGCGGGAUGACGGCCUUCGGGUUGUAAACCGCUUUCGCCUGUGACGAAGCGUGAGUGACGGUAAUGGGUAAAGAAGCACCGGCUAACUACGUGCCGGCAGCCGCGGUGAUACGUAGGGUGCGAGCGUUGUCCGGAUUUAUUGGGCGUAAAGGGCUCGUAGGUGGUUGAUCGCGUCGGAAGUGUAAUCUUGGGGCUUAACCCUGAGCGUGCUUUCGAUACGGGUUGACUUGAGGAAGGUAGGGGAGAAUGGAAUUCCUGGUGGAGCGGUGGAAUGCGCAGAUAUCAGGAGGAACACCAGUGGCGAAGGCAGUUCUCUGGCCCUUUCCUGACGCUGAGGAGCGAAAGCGUGGGGAGCGAACAGGCUUAGAUACCCUGGUAGUCCACGCUGUAAACGGUGGGUACUAGGUGUGGGGUCCAUUCCACGGGUUCCGUGCCGUAGCUAACGCUUUAAGUACCCCGCCUGGGGAGUACGGCCGCAAGGCUAAAACUCAAAGGAAUUGACGGGGCCCCGCACAAGCGGCGGAGCGUGCGGAUUAAUUCGAUGCAACGCGUAGAACCUUACCUGGGUUUGACAUGGAUCGGGAGUGCUCAGAGAUGGGUGUGCCUCUUUUGGGGUCGGUUCACAGGUGGUGCAUGGCUGUCGUCAGCUCGUGUCGUGAGAUGUUGGGUUAAGUCCCGCAACGAGCGCAACCCUUGUUCACUGUUGCCAGCACGUUAUGGUGGGGACUCAGUGGAGACCGCCGGGGUCAACUCGGAGGAAGGUGGGGAUGACGUCAAGUCAUCAUGCCCCUUAUGUCCAGGGCUUCACGCAUGCUACAAUGGCUGGUACAGAGAGUGGCGAGCCUGUGAGGGUGAGCGAAUCUCGGAAAGCCGGUCUCAGUUCGGAUUGGGGUCUGCAACUCGACCUCAUGAAGUCGGAGUCGCUAGUAAUCGCAGAUCAGCAACGCUGCGGUGAAUACGUUCCCGGG